CCUGCCCUGUGACUAUAUGUUUAACGGCCGCGGUAUCUUGACCGUGCGAAGGUAGCGCAAUCACUUGUCUUUUAAAUAGGGACCUGUAUGAAUGGCAUAACGAGGGCUUAGCUGUCUCCUUUUUCGAGUCAAUGAAAUUGAUCUCCCCGUGCAGAAGCGGGGAUAAAACCAUAAGACGAGAAGACCCUGUGGAGCUUUAGACACUAAGGCAGAUCAUGUUAAGCAACCCAAACACGGGAUAAAACUAAAAGAGUCCUGCCCUUUGUCUUCGGUUGGGGCGACCCUGGGGUAAAACAGACCCCCCACGCGGAAAAGGAGCACUAUGCUCCCAAAACUAAGAGUUCCCACUCUAACAAACAGAACUUCUGACCUAAAGAUCCGGCAAAGCCGAUCAACGGACCAAGUUACCCCAGGGAUAACAGCGCAAUCCUCUUUUAGAGCCCAUAUCGACAAGGGGGUUUACGACCUCGAUGUUGGAUCAGGACAUCCUAAUGGUGCAGCCGCUAUUAAGGGUUCGUUUGUUCAACGAUUAAAGUCCUACGUGAU
rnacentral:rRNA from 1 species